rnacentral:rRNA from 1 species
GACGAACGCUGGCGGCGUGCUUAACACAUGCAAGUCGAACGGAAAGGCCCUGCUUUUGUGGGGUGCUCGAGUGGCGAACGGGUGAGUAACACGUGAGUAACCUGCCCUUGACUUUGGGAUAACUUCAGGAAACUGGGGCUAAUACCGGAUAGGAGCUCCUGCUGCAUGGUGGGGGUUGGAAAGUUUCGGCGGUUGGGGAUGGACUCGCGGCUUAUCAGCUUGUUGGUGGGGUAGUGGCUUACCAAGGCUUUGACGGGUAGCCGGCCUGAGAGGGUGACCGGCCACAUUGGGACUGAGAUACGGCCCAGACUCCUACGGGAGGCAGCAGUGGGGAAUAUUGCACAAUGGGCGGAAGCCUGAUGCAGCAACGCCGCGUGUGGGAUGACGGCCUUCGGGUUGUAAACCGCUUUCGCCUGUGACGAAGCGUGAGUGACGGUAAUGGGUAAAGAAGCACCGGCUAACUACGUGCCAGCAGCCGCGGUGAUACGUAGGGUGCGAGCGUUGUCCGGAUUUAUUGGGCGUAAAGGGCUCGUAGGUGGUUGAUCGCGUCGGAAGUGUAAUCUUGGGGCUUAACCCUGAGCGUGCUUUCGAUACGGGUUGACUUGAGGAAGGUAGGGGAGAAUGGAAUUCCUGGUGGAGCGGUGGAAUGCGCAGAUAUCAGGAGGAACACCAGUGGCGAAGGCGGUUCUCUGGGCCUUUCCUGACGCUGAGGAGCGAAAGCGUGGGGAGCGAACAGGCUUAGAUACCCUGGUAGUCCACGCUGUAAACGGUGGGUACUAGGUGUGGGGUCCAUUCCACGGGUUCCGUGCCGUAGCUAACGCUUUAAGUACCCCGCCUGGGGAGUACGGCCGCAAGGCUAAAACUCAAAGGAAUUGACGGGGCCCCGCACAAGCGGCGGAGCAUGCGGAUUAAUUCGAUGCAACGCGUAGAACCUUACCUGGGUUUGACAUGGAUCGGGAGUGCUCAGAGAUGGGUGUGCCUCUUUUGGGGUCGGUUCACAGGUGGUGCAUGGCUGUCGUCAGCUCGUGUCGUGAGAUGUUGGGUUAAGUCCCGCAACGAGCGCAACCCUUGUUCACUGUUGCCAGCACGUUAUGGUGGGGACUCAGUGGAGACCGCCGGGGUCAACUCGGAGGAAGGUGGGGAUGACGUCAAGUCAUCAUGCCCCUUAUGUCCAGGGCUUCACGCAUGCUACAAUGGCUGGUACAGAGAGUGGCGAGCCUGUGAGGGUGAGCGAAUCUCGGAAAGCCGGUCUCAGUUCGGAUUGGGGUCUGCAACUCGACCUCAUGAAGUCGGAGUCGCUAGUAAUCGCAGAUCAGCAACGCUGCGGAAAAUACGUUCCCGGG